rnacentral:tRNA from 1 species
UGUCCAAUGCGGGAAUCGAACCCGGGUCUUGUGGUCGAAAACCAAACGGUUUAACCAGCCUUCCCCCGAC